CACGAAACGAUAGGAGCUAAAGGAUAUAUAUGAUAGUAGGAAAGUGUUGCAGAAUGUGAAAGAGUAUCCUUUAGGGGUGAUAGGCCUGCCAAAUAUCGCGAUAUCUUGUUUAUCUUGAAAAUUUAUCUAGUAAAAAAACAAAUUUAAGGUGCUAAUAUCUUAAAAUAUAAAUUAAUUUUUGAGAGUGUCAACUGUCUGGUGUAAAAACGCACAGAUAACUAUUAAUAGUAUUAAUUUAAAGGGCUUGUUUAAAAUAAGGGAAAAUAUUUUAAUAAUAAUUUAUAUUUAUAAUGUUAAUAUUAGUAAAUAUUUAAAUAUAUUUAAUGAACUCGGCUAAAAUUUCUCGACUGUUUAUCAAAAACAUAGCCAGAUGGUGAUAUAUUUGGUGCUUUCUGCUCAAUGAUAUAUUAAAUAGCCGCAGUACUUUGACUGUGCAAAGGUAGCAUAAUCAAUUGACUUAUAAUUGAAGUCUGGAAUGAAAGGAUUCACGGGAAAUUACUGUAUCAAAUAUUUAUAGUGAAAUUAGGUUUCAAGUGCAAAUGCUUGUAAGUAAUUGUUAGACGAGAAGACCCUAGAAAUUUGUAUAUACGUUUGGUUGGGGCAACAUAGUAGGAAUUAACCUACAGUAGGGACAAGAAAUUAAUUAGCAAGAAUAAAUUACUCUAGGGAUAACAGCAUAAUUUAUAAAAGUUUGUGACCUCGAUGUUGGAUUUGGGAAUUAUAGUUCAGAA
rnacentral:rRNA from 1 species